rnacentral:rRNA from 1 species
CCUACGGGCUGCAGCAGUGGGGAAUAUUGCACAAUGGGCGCAAGCCUGAUGCAGCCAUGCCGCGUGUAUGAAGAAGGCCUUCGGGUUGUAAAGUACUUUCAGCGGGGAGGAAGGCGAUAAGGUUAAUAACCUUGUCGAUUGACGUUACCCGCAGAGGAAGCACCGGCUAACUCCGUUCCAGCAGCCGCGGUAAUACGGAGGGUGCAAGCGUUAAUCGGAAUUACUGGGCGUAAAGCGCACGCAGGCGGUCUGUCAAGUCGGAUGUGAAAUCCCCGGGCUCAACCUGGGAACUGCAUUCGAAACUGGCUGGCUAGAGUCUUGUAGAGGGGGGUAGAAUUCCAGGUGUAGCGGUGAAAUGCGUAGAGAUCUGGAGGAAUACCGGUGGCGAAGGCGGCCCCCUGGACAAAGACUGACGCUCAGGUGCGGAAGCGUGGGGAGCAAACAGGAUUAGAUACCCCAGUAGUC